rnacentral:misc_RNA from 1 species
GAUGAAGAACGUAGUGAAAUGCGAUACGUAAUGUGAAUUGCAGAAUUCAGUGAAUCAUCGAAUCUUUGAACGCAUAUUGCGCUCUCUGGUAUUCCGGAGAGCAUGCUUGUUUGAGUAUCAGUAAACACCUCAACUUCCAUAUCUUUUUUGAAAUGGGAGUUGGACUUGAGUGAUCCCAACGCUUUUCCUCACCGAAAAGUGGCGGGUUACUUGAAAUGCAGGUGCAGCUGGACUUUCCUCUGAGCUAUAAGCAUAUCUAUUUAGUCUGCCUAAAAAACAGAUUAUUACCUUUGCUGCAGCUAACAUAAAGGAGAUUAGUUCUUGUGCUGACUGAUGCAGGAUUCACAAAGACGGCUUCGGCCGACUUUGUAAACUCGAUCUCAAAUCAAGUAAGACUACCCGCUGAACUUAAGCAUAUCAAUAAGCGGAGGA